GAAAUGAACAUUAAUCUGCAGCACCACUAGAAACGCCUAAGCAUCUAUGAGAUUCCGAUGCCAUAUGAUGUUGCCAUACUGCAACAUUAAAUUGAACGAAAUUCGACUCCAUCAUCGGUUCCGUAUUAGCCAUUUUCAUCAGUGAUUGCCUCAUUUAUUUUGUUUUUGGAUGAAAUUACGAAUCGACGCGGACCUACAAGUACGUGACGCUGUCGUCAACAACAGCUUCGAAAUUGCGAGUAUGGCCGGGCCAUGAAAGAACAGCAUUCCCGUACCACAGCACCUCACCAACAUCGCAAUGAGGCACCUUGAAGAGGAAAAACAACAACGAUGACGCCACUCUCCAAGUGUCAGAAGGAAGGUGCUGGCACCCAACAAAAACAAAAGAUGUGCAAAUAAUGAAGCAGAUGGAAGGUGGCUGGUGGCGACUGAAUUCAUACACAUCCAAACACUUUUCGCUAAUGAACUGGGGAAAUUACAAGAAAAAGUAAUUUUAA